CUCGACUACAUGAAGCUGGAAUCGCUAGUAAUCGCGGAUCAGAAUGCCGCGGUGAAUACGUUCCCGGGUCUUGUACACACCGCCCGUCACACCAUGGGAGUCGGGAAUGCCCGAAGCCAGUGACCCAAGCGAGAGCAGGGAGCUGUCGAAGGCAGGCCGGAUAACUGGGGUGAAGUCGUAACAAGGUAUC
rnacentral:rRNA from 1 species